AGUGCCCUGUGGAAAAGCUGGCUGUACAAUAGCAGAGCUGCAUCUGAAUGAAAUUCAAGAAAUGAGCCAUAAUGCCAGGAGACACAUAGUGGUGUAACUCUGUUAAGGAUCCCUUAGUGUCAAGAAAUGUUAUCUGAGCAAUGGAAAAGAGACAUUAUUAUUCCAGUCUCCUGCAUAGUGGGAAAUACUAUAACAGAAAGCUACUGAACAGAACUAGUCAGCUCCUGACCAUGUUUGCAUUUGCCAUAUCUCAAAGCUAGGACAAGAUCAAGGUA